rnacentral:lncRNA from 1 species
GAUUAUUGGGGUGGGGGAGCUGGCCAUAGCACUCAUGUGGAUAUGAGAGGAUCACUUAAUGAGGUCAAGUCCCCUUCCAUCCACCACUAUAUGGGUCCUGGAGAUUGAACCCCAGUUGCUAGGUUUGCUCCGCCUUUAGCCACCUCACUACCUCACCAGACCCAUUCUCUCUGUCUCUUUGUCUUGCUCUGUCUGUCUGUCUGUCUGUCUGUCUGUCUGUCUGAGACAGAGUCUCUCGUUGAACUUGUGCUAAAGCGUCACUUAAGGCAUGGCAAAAAAGUCUGUACCAUCCACGACAGAUGUAAUAUUUUUUUCUUAGAAAUUCAACCCACUGCUGGAGGAAUUCACGGAUACAGGAACCGUAAAUGCAGAGACGAGCUGGGAUUGCGUGUGCAGUGGGAACAGCCUCAGAAUAGCUCAUCAUCUAACAGAGGUUGGUAACAACUGAAGCUCCUCUCGGGCUGCCUGAGGGAUAUACCGGACUUCUAAUGCCUGGUCCUCAACCUUAAAUCUUGAGAGAGCUUGGGACCCACGUGUCUCUCUGGACACCACGGAGACCAAGGCUAGACCCAUGGAUUGACACUGCAUUCCAGACAAGCGUCCAAGCCUCCUGACUGCCACAUGGUGCCUGCGACACUGGCUGCUUUGUGUCACCUCGCCAGGGGCAGGCCUGGACUGCUUUAUAAACUCUUGGUGGCAUUCUGCCUGGGGCUGGCAAAGCCAGACAGGGCACAGGAAGGGAGCAGGGAGGAGGGGGCAGUGACAUCCCAAAUAAAGCUCGUGGUUUGGAAACCCUCUUCCUUUCCCAGAGCAGGAGGCACUAUUUUUCACGCUGCUUGAGGAAUAGAGGGAAAGGAGGGGUGGGGGUGCGGGUGGGGUGCCUUCAGAGGUCCGGAGCUACGGGGGCCUUCAUCUUGGUGUCCUUUGUGACUCCCAUGUUCCCCUGUAACCCACACAGGUGCUUAGGCUUCUACUCAGGAGUUAGAGGACGCAGGAGCUGCAGUGUGGCUCAGUUGAUAGGGUGCUUGCUCAGUACUCGUGAUGCUCUGGGUUCAAUUCCCUAGCAUCCCAUAAGCUUGCUGCGGGAAUUCUACUGCUCGGGAGGUGGAGACAGGAGAUUGAGGCUCCAGGCCAGCCUAAGCUAGCAUAGUGAGACCUUGUCUUGAAGAAAAAAUAAAUUCGGGGAGGGAAGAAGUCACAAGUUCAGCGUUCCGGAAGCCUCCGAGGGAAGGAAAACACAUCUGGGCCAGACUUUUCAAGGACAAACGGUGGAACACUUCUUGGGCUCUUCCAUGCCUAAACCCCUCAUCUCUGGUCAGCACCCUAAAGCUUGUUCUCCGUGAAUCUUUUUUUUUAAAGAUUUAUUUUAUGUUAUGAGUACACUAUAGCUGUCUUCAGACACACCAGAAGAGGGCAUCAGAUCUCACUACACAUGUUUGUGAGCCACCAUGUGGUUACUGGGAAUUGAACUCAGGACCUCAGGAAGAGCAGUCAGUGCUCUUUAACCGCUGUGCCAUCUCAGCAGCUCCCACUUUCCCUGAUUCUUAAAGCUUUAGUUAGGAUAAACAUGUCCCCCAAGGGCUGAUCAGCCCAUUCAUUACUCCUAGAUCUGAGGGAGUCGUGGCCCUC